rnacentral:rRNA from 1 species
GAUCCUGGCUUAGGACGAACGCUGGCGGCGUGCCUAACACAUGCAAGUCGAGCGAUGAAGUCUUCGGGACGGAUUAGCGGCGGACGGGUGAGUAACACGUGGGUAACCUGCCUUGUAGAGGGGGAUAGCCUUCCGAAAGGAAGAUUAAUACCGCAUAACAUCUUUUUAUCGCAUGGUAGAAAGAUCAAAGGAGUAAUCCGCUACAAGAUGGACCCGCGGCGCAUUAGCUAGUUGGUGAGGUAACGGCUCACCAAGGCGACGAUGCGUAGCCGACCUGAGAGGGUGAUCGGCCACAUUGGAACUGAGACACGGUCCAGACUCCUACGGGAGGCAGCAGUGGGGAAUAUUGCGCAAUGGGGGAAACCCUGACGCAGCAACGCCGCGUGAAUGAAGAAGGCCUUAGGGUUGUAAGGUUCUGUUUACGGGGACGAUAAUGACGGUACCCGUGGAGGAAGCCACGGCUAACUACGUGCCAGCCGCCGC